UACCCAAAGCAGAUGAUGAAAAAGCACUGAAGCUGACUCUGUGUGGAGCACAUUCAGUCCAACGCUGAGCUUUGUGCC
rfam:Cuculus canorus isolate BGI_N303 unplaced genomic scaffold scaffold369, whole genome shotgun sequence.